UUUUUUAUGGCCGAGAUACAAGCAUCAAAUUUUUAAUUUGAAUUACGAAUUAACAAUUCUUUGCGAU
rnacentral:tRNA from 1 species